rnacentral:rRNA from 1 species
GACGAACGCUGGCGGCGUGCCUAAUACAUGCAAGUUGAGCGCUGAAGGUUGGUACUUGUACCAACUGGAUGAGCAGCGAACGGGUGAGUAACGCGUGGGGAAUCUGCCUUUGAUCGGGGGACAACAUUUGGAAACGAAUGCUAAUACCGCAUAAAAACUUUAAACACAAGUUUUAAGUUUGAAAGAUGCAAUUGCAUCACUCAAAGAUGAUCCCGCGUUGUAUUAGCUAGUUGGUGAGGUAAAGGCUCACCAAGGCGAUGAUACAUAGCCGACCUGAGAGGGUGAUCGGCCACAUUGGGACUGAGACACGGCCCAAACUCCUACGGGAGGCAGCAGUAGGGAAUCUUCGGCAAUGGACGAAAGUCUGACCGAGCAACGCCGCGUGAGUGAAGAAGGUUUUCGGAUCGUAAAACUCUGUUGGUAGAGAAGAACGUUGGUGAGAGUGGAAAGCUCAUCAAGUGACGGUAACUACCCAGAAAGGGACGGCUAACUACGUG